rnacentral:rRNA from 1 species
GAUGAACGCUGGCGGCGUGCCUAAUACAUGCAAGUCGAGCGAACGGACGAGAAGCUUUCUUCUCUGAUGUUAGCGGCGGACGGGUGAGUAACACGUGGAUAACCUACCUAUAAGACGGGGAUAACUUCGGGAAACCGGAGCUAAUACCGGAUAAUAUUUUGAACCGCAUGGUUCAAAAGUGAAAGACGGUCUUGCUGUCACUUAUAGAUGGAUCCGCGCUGCAUUAGCUAGUUGGUAAGGUAACGGCUUACCAAGGCAACGAUGCAUAGCCGACCUGAGAGGGUGAUCGGCCACACUGGAACUGAGACACGGUCCAGACUCCUACGGGAGGCAGCAGUAGGGAAUCUUCCGCAAUGGGCGAAAGCCUGACGGAGCAACGCCGCGUGAGUGAUGAAGGUCUUCGGAUCGUAAAACUCUGUUAUUAGGGAAGAACAUAUGUGUAAGUAACUGUGCACAUCUUGACGGUACCUAAUCAGAAAGCCACGGCUAACUACGUG